rnacentral:rRNA from 1 species
UACGUAGGGUGCAAGCGUUGUCCGGAAUUAUUGGGCGUAAAGAGCUCGUAGGCGGUUUGUCGCGUCGGCCGUGAAAUCUCCACGCUUAACGUGGAGCGUGCGGUCGAUACGGGCAGACUUGAGUUCGGUAGGGGAGACUGGAAUUCCUGGUGUAGCGGUGAAAUGCGCAGAUAUCAGGAGGAACACCGAUGGCGAAGGCAGGUCUCUGGGCCGAUACUGACGCUGAGGAGCGAAAGCGUGGGGAGCGAACAGG